UAGGGAAUAUUAGUAAUGGACGAAAGUCUGAUCUAGCAACACCGCGUGUGCGAAGAAGGCCUUCGGGUCGUAAAGCACUUUUUGGAAGGAAUAGGAAGGAAUGUACUUCCAGAAUAAGUCUCGGCUAACUACGUGCCAGCAGCCGCGGUAACACGUAGGAGGCAAACGUUAUCCGGAUUUACUGGGCGUAAAGCGCGUGUAGGUGGUACUGUAAGUAGGGCGUGAAAGCUCCUGGCUCAACUGGGAGAGGCCGUUCUAAACUACAGAACUAGAGGAUGGUAGAGGGAGGUGGAAUUCCAGGUGUAGCGGUGGAAUGCGCAGAUAUCUGGAGGAACACCGGUGGCGAAGGCGGCCUCCUGGACCAUUCCUGACACUCAGACGCGAAAGCUAGGGUAACAAACG
rnacentral:rRNA from 1 species